AUUGAACGCUGGCGGCAUGCCUUACACAUGCAAGUCGAACGGCAGCACGGGUGCUUGCACCUGGUGGCGAGUGGCGAACGGGUGAGCAAUACAUCGGAACGUACCUUAUCGUGGGGGAUAACGCAGCGAAAGCUGUGCUAAUACCGCAUACGCCCUGAGGGGGAAAGCGGGGGAUCGAAAGACCUCGCGCGAUUAGAGCGGCCGAUGCCUGAUUAGCUUGUUGGUGGGGUAAAAGCCCACCAAGGCGGCGAUCAGUAGCUGGUCUGAGAGGACGAUCAGCCACACCGGGACUGAGACACGGCCCAGACUCCUACGGGAGGCAGCAGUGGGGAAUUUUGGACAAUGGGGGCAACCCUGAUCCAGCAAUGCCGCGUGAGUGAAGAAGGCCUUCGGGUUGUAAAGCUCUUUUGUCAGGGAAGAAACACCGGCUCUAACACAGUCCGGGAAUGACGGUACCUGAAGAAUAAGCACCGGCUAACUACGUGCCAGCAGCCGCAGUAA
rnacentral:rRNA from 1 species